rnacentral:rRNA from 1 species
AGGACGAACGCUGGCGGCGUGCUUAACACAUGCAAGUCGAGCGGAAAGGCCCUUCGGGGUACUCGAGCGGCGAACGGGUGAGUAACACGUGAGCAACCUGCCCUUAGCUCCGGGAUAGCUCCGGGAAACCGGAAUUAAUACCGGAUAUGACCUAGGCCGACAUCGGCUGUGGUGGAAAGUUUUUCGGCUGGGGAUGGACUCGCGGCCUAUCAGCUUGUUGGUGGGGUAAUGGCCUACCAAGGCGACGACGGGUAGCCGGCCUGAGAGGGCGACCGGCCACACUGGGACUGAGACACGGCCCAGACUCCUACGGGAGGCAGCAGUGGGGAAUCUUGCGCAAUGGGCGAAAGCCUGACGCAGCGACGCCGCGUGGGGGAUGAAGGCCUUCGGGUUGUAAACCCCUUUCAGCAGGGACGAAGCGAAGUGACGGUACCUGCAGAGAAGCGCCGGCUAACUACGCGCCAGCAGCCGC